GCCCAAGGGGGGGUGUGGGGGGGACGAAGUCCCCCCCAACGAACAGAAACAGUGAUAACGAUCAUAAAUUAGUGAUAAGAAGUUGUUAUUCCUUCGUGAUAAUCGUUAUUUUAGUUGGUGACCGUGCGGCAGUAUUAUUAAUGAUCGAUCAAGAUAACACACAUUUCUAUGUUUCCGAAGCUUUGAUUGUUGCCCUGAAUCAAGGUAAAUUCAACGAACAAUGAAACGUAAUAUUGCUGAUAGCUGCCAAUCAAAUCAACUGCUAUCGAUCAAGAUAACACACAUUUCUAUGUUUCCGAAGCUUUGAUUGUUGCCCUGAAUCAAGGUAAAUUCAACGAACAAUGAAACGUAAUAUUGCUGAUAGCUGCCAAUCAAAUCAACUGCUCUAAGAAAGUGAUGAUGACGAACAAGAAAACAAUUAACUACGUAUUUUGCUAGACAGUAAUGUAACAAGUGAUGAUGAAUUCGAUCGUUCAAAUCAUAAAAUGCACUUAGAAUGAGUUAUACAUGAUUUGAUCAAUCGUCAGAUCUUUGUGUUAGUGAUAAUUUAAAUACUUAUGCCGAGCAGACUUCUGAUUUGCGCUGAUAUCUAAUCUAUUCUAUCACGAAGAUGUUCCUUGCAAUCUGAACUGCGAUCUUCUCACAAAUCAUAAUUUUUACUUAAUUGUUCCUGAAAGCGCAGCUGACUUUGUUGAAAACCUAGAACUCAAGAUGAUGUUGAAAAGUGUACCAUUGCAACUCAAAGUAGAUGUACCUACCUACACUGAAAACUUGUGAGAAUUACAUAUACUUACUACAAGCCAAUGCGAAUUAUGCCACACUCUGGGAUCCGUACGUGAAAUAAGUACCUACUACCUAUGUUCCAAACAAGAGAUCAUUUUCCUUGGGUAAAUCAACGCUGUUGAGUGUUGUUUAGUGUAUCCUUACCAGAUGUUACAAUUAGAAGAAAAUUUGCCGUAAAUGUGUACAAAUUAAUUAAUUGAAACGAUGUUAAUUCAAUACAGAAAUUAUAUUAUCAGUGGAACGCCUAAAUGUGUACGAAUUAAUAAUCGUAAUGACUUCAAUUUACAUAAUAGAAAUAAUAAUCUCAACGAAGGUGUUUCAAUACACGAAGAGGAACUAAACAAGAAAUUCAAAUUCAAUUUAUGUUGAAAAUUAAUUGAUUUUUACUUUUUUAGUGACAAUUUUGAAUCAAUAGUCUAGGUAGAAAUUAUAUUCUCGAUGAACUCCUAAAUGUGUACAAAUUAAUAAUCACAAUGAUUUCAAUUUAACCCCAUCGAAAGCGUUUUUUGACAGGAACUAUUAGAUGCGAAAUUCAAAUUUGGUGUAUUAUGAAAUUGAUGUGUAGUGAUGUUUUUCAUGUAAUAAGUAGCGUAAGGAUAAUAUAAGGCGACAUAUACGUACUUAGUACUUAUGUAUUACGUAUUUUGAUACGUGUACUGCACUGCACUGAUCUACCUGUGUUUACUUGUACUGUACUGUAUACAAAAUUCCUUGGAAAAUUUCAACUUUAAUAAACAAUUGAAACACAA